AGAGAGAAUCUGGUCACUGAAUUUUCUGAAAUGUCAUUGUGGAUCCUACCCAGUAGUGUUGCAACAAGGCUAAAAGUCGUAUUAGCUGCCUUUAGGACAGAAACAAACCACUCCUUUUGUGGACCAAACCACAAGGUAAAAUAACCUUGUUUAAAGAAAAAAGUAGGAGUGUAUUGCAGAGGCCUUGACUAGGUUUAUGAUGACACAGGACCUUGUCUGAACAUGAUGAUUUCAAAAUUUGAGCUUAAAAGGACACUCUGAAAUCCAGUCACUGUGCCUCAAUAGACUUUUCAGAGGACAUUAUUCUUGGCAGAAAAUGUUGGCUUGACAUGUGAAAACUGAAUAGCUAGAAAUGGCAGGUGUAGUCGUACACUUUGCCAGUUUUUCAAACAUCCCUUUUUUUUCUUUUCAUAGAUUUUUCUGAGCUAAUUAUUUUCUCUUUUUUCUUUUUUUUAUAUAUACAUAUAUGUGUGUGUAUAUAUGUGUGUGUGUGUGUGUGCCCACACACACUGUUCAAAGCAAAAAUGGGAGCUCACCCUUGGAUCUCAGAAGGCACACAGGUGGCGAGAUGGAAACAAAGACAUAUAAAAAGGAAGCUGCCACCUCUUGGAUCAGACAUUGAAUGACAGAGCUCUAGGUGUCUAAGCGUUGUCCAGAAAGAAUAUUUAUGGAACACAUAUGAAACGCAAUGAGUGUGGAACAAAAAGGAAGACGUGAGAAGGGAAUUGUCGUUUUAAACCGCAGGUAUUUCAGAAGCAACAUUUAAACAGCAGAGGAAAUUUUAAGAUACAACCAAUUUGUGCCUGUCUUCAUCGUUACCUGUUGACAUCUCGGGAGUGUUGGGCUGUUGUGUCCAACUUUGUAUUCCCAGUGACUGUUAUGAAUAGUUUUUGAGUGAUCGUGAAGAGCGUGUGACUUAGAUACUUGUGCUAGUGCGGCAAAGAGUUUUACACAGUGAAACAGAGUAUUGGACUAUCCACGGAAAGAAGGGAGAAGAUGGCAUUUGAGGUGAACAUGAUGAAAGAAAGACAUAACAUGCAGAUAACCUGAGGAUGUCUGACAUCAUCAGGAACAUUAUUCCUGUGAAGUUCCUUAAUUUAUAAAUCUGAACUGUAAACCACAGGGAGAUGAUAGUUCCAAGAAAAGACACUUUUGCCAUCUUUGUUUUUAAUCUCAAUAAUUGGUACCAUGAGACCUGUUGCAGUAUUCCUCUUUUCAAGUGUUCAUCACUCCCAUCCAUCCCUGGGCCUAGGAGAACCCCUUGGCGAUAAUGAUUGUGUGAUGACUGAAUAGGAAAAACUGAUGCCAUUGCUUCUGCCACCAUCUUCAGUAAAACCAAAGACAGUCUUCAUAAUGUAUAGAGAUUCCUCAUUGAUGCGUUGCAAUGGACACACUCCCUGUAGAUCACAAAAACAGGCUGAGAAGGCUGAAGUUUCAAAGUGACCUAAAGGGUGAUAUUGGAGAGAACUGUAACCAGGCAUGUUGACUGUUUUCAUUGUUGCCAUUGGACUAAAUCUCAGGAGCUUGAAUGAUGGAGGCAUUAUUACACAGAGAAGCUCAGGAUGGUAUAAUUUCAAGGCUUCAUUACAGUGCUCCCAUAAGUAUUAGGUGCACAUUUUUAAAAUUUUCAUUUAUCACAGGGAAAUUGAAAAUUGACUCAUAAAAAAUCAUCUUUUUCAAGAUUUCAAAGGACAUGGAAAUUUGUGAAGUAUAAUAUUUUACUUCUUAAAUGCCUUUUUUCCUCUUCUAAUUCUGCCACCUCUGUCUGUGUUAUCUACUAUUAAUGAAAUUUUGUGCACAUCCUUUUGGGUGUAUUGAUAAAUUAAUAUGCAAGUUAUUUUUUGGGUGGUCUAUAUACUAGCUACAGAUUUUCUAUACAGUAAACAUGAUUUAUAUAUAAUUGUAAAUUUAUCCAACUAAUUUGUUGAAAUAAUUCCAGUGAAUUGGAACUGCUAGGACUAAGGGUAUCCAAAAUUUAUAGUUUUGAGUCCAAACUAGUUUUCCCUACUAUACAGACAGGACCUCAUCAAUCUUGUUCCCCAGUGUUUAUGUGGGUAUAUUUCCUAAAACUGUACAAAUGUUACAUUUUUAAUCUUUGGUAAUAUGGUAUUACAAAGAAAUUGCUUUUCUUCUGUUACUGUUCAGCUCUGUCAUCUUCAUAUAUGCUUAAUCCUUACUAGUCAUUUGUGUUAUUUCAUUUUCUUCUGUUUUUUUUUUCCAUUCCAUUGAUAUAUCAAUGUCUUUGUUACUGGUUUCUAAGAACUCAUUUUUUAUUAAGGAUGUUAACCAUUUGUCAUGCAGUGCAAAUGAAGUACCAUAUUUUAUUGCUAUCAAUU